rnacentral:rRNA from 1 species
CCUACGGGAGGCAGCAGUGAGGAAUAUUGGUCAAUGGGCGCGAGCCUGAACCAGCCAAGUCGCGUGAGGGAAGACGGCCCUACGGGUUGUAAACCUCUUUUGCCGGGGAGCAACGGGCGCCACGUGUGGCGCCACUGAGAGUACCCGGAGAAAAAGCAUCGGCUAACUCCGUGCCAGCAGCAGCGGUAAUACGGGGGGUGCAAGCGUUGUCCGGAAUCAUUGGGCGUAAAGAGUUCGUAGGUGGCACGUUAAGUCUGGUGUUAAAGGCGGAAGCUCAACUUCCGUAGGGCACUGGAUACUGGCGAGCUUGAAUGCGGUAGAGGUAAAGGGAAUUCCUGGUGUAGCGGUGAAAUGCGUAGAUAUCAGGAGGAACAUCGGUGGCGUAAGCGCUUUACUGGGCCGUAAUUGACACUGAGGAACGAAAGCCGGGGUAGCAAAUGGGAUUAGAUACCCUUGUAGUC